UGUACGCAUCCGAGACUACAUCCACUAUUGUAACAGUUUCAAGGUGUUUCUUAACGAGUAUGCUGAUUGGGUAUUAUGUCCUUACCUUAAUAAAAUACCUUGAAACUGUAACAAGAGUGGAUGAAAUCUUUGAUGAGUAUAGUAGUUGUAGCAACAAAUGCCCAGGAUAUUCUAUCUUAUCCACCACGUGAUGUAUUUCAAGU
rnacentral:lncRNA from 1 species